rnacentral:tRNA from 1 species
UUCUGGUUAGCUUGGUCGGUAAAGCACUUCACUGGAAAUGGAGGGGUCCCUGGUUCGAUCCCAGGUCAAGGCA